CGUUUCAUUCCAUUUUUUUAAUCUUUUUUUCUCUUGCAAGGAUCUAUGAAGAUAAUAUUAGGUGUCUUAAUUUUAAAAAUAUGAAUUUUCUGUUAAAAUAUAUUUUUUCCUUUAAAUCUAGUUUUUAUUUUACCACAGAUGUUAGUCCAUGAUCUCACGAAAAAAUCAAAAAACAUGUUAACAUGUCUAAGUAUUUACCUUUUUGUCUACAAAUAUUAUUUCUGAAGUCUCACCAAACCUGGGAUUGGAUGGUUUCCAGGUAUGCACCAUUUUGGCGCUUGGAUAAGCCACACCGUUUUCUAUGGUUUAAUAUCAUCAAGAAUCCAAAGUUCGUGAGGAGAACACAGAAAUUUAAAUGUUCAAGUGUCAGUGCUGAUGGAACAUGAUGAAUUAAAUUUCAAUAUACAAUUUUCUGAACAUAUAAAGUUAACAAAAAAGGUGUAUUUAAUCUUUUUUGAUGGCUACGAUCGAAGGAAGGAGUUUGAUAUGUAUUCUAGAGUUGUUGAAUUUGUUAACGUCGUAUAGUUUUGGUGUAGAUAAAUAGAUAUAUUAAUUGAGUAAAAUGAAAGGAAAAAGAUCAAAAA